CAUCGGCAUCACCGAUCAUCAAAAGGAAGAGAGAGAGAGAAAAUAUCUGGUGUCCAUCUUUAGAAUUGAGAUACAGAUCGAAUUUAUUUUUUCGAUUUGAACUCUUAUCUCCGGCGGCGAUACUUGUAUGAGUUUGGCGUUACCUUGCAGUCGAACCACGAGCUCUUCUCAGGGGCUAUUUUUUUCUCCUUCAAACAACGAAUAAGCCCUAUGGAGCCGCCGGCAGUACAAGAGGGCGGCGGAGCGAGGCGGCAGCAGCCUCAGCAACAAGCCGGAAUCGGGCAGAUGCUGACCGGAGUAAUUAGGAUAGCUGUUUUCUGGUACUUCGCCUCUAAAUUCUUUGGACCAAAGCGAUCGCCCACUCAAUCCUCAACUCAGAUCUCUAAUCUGUUCCACAAAGGGGAACUGUUGGACAUGUGGUUGUACGUAUCUGAGCAUGAGAAAUUUAGUGACUUUGGAAGUGAGGCCGCCCUUGUCUGGCAGGAGACAAAUAUACCUUAUGCAGCUUGGACUCCAGAUAGUACCAGAACUCUGUCAUUGAAGUAUCAACCUACUGAGGCUUUAAAAUCCAAUGGGAGUCUAUAUGCCCACGUUUACUUUGCGAAGUCUGGCUAUCCGCCAGAUCCGCAGGACCCUGAGUACCAGCCAUUGGCAGCUUUUGGGCGGACCCAUGCCAUUGUUGUAUAUUUGCCCAAGUCAAAGUCUGACAGGAGGAAGAGUUUGUUAGGGAAUUCAGAAGACUCUGGUGACGAAGGAAAGAUCUCUGAGGUAGCCAAAGAUGUUCCAGAAGAUGAGAAAGAGGAUGAACCAGCAGAAUGGAAGUCAUACUGGAAACCAAAUAUUACCAUAAAUCUGGUUGAUGAUUUCACAAGAUAUCCAGAGAAUGCAGUUCCUCCAAAUAUUGCUCCUUACAUGAACAUUGAGCCUACUACAGGAAAUUACUACCCAACUGUCUUCUUCAAUGAGUUUUGGUUACUUCGGGAUAAGUUAAUACAACUAAACGAGACCGUGACUGAAUUGCCACUAAAUCUCGAGGUUGCUCCCAUUAGCAUGACGAAAUGGCAACUCUUCCUACAGAUUGACCAAUCAUUCCAGGUUCAUAGGAGUUAUGGAAGCAUGCUCGAAGGGGAAGCUGAUGAACUUAAGAGAGUUUUUCUUGAAGGAAACCCUAUCCUUUUAGCAGUUACCAUGGUUGUUUCAGCUCUUCACUCAAUAUUUGACUUCUUGGCUUUUAAAAAUGAUAUCCAGUUCUGGAAUAAAAACAAGUCGAUGGAAGGUUUAUCUGCAAAAUCUGUUGUUGUGAAUUUCUUUUGUCAGCUAAUUGUCUUCCUCUACUUGCUUGACAAUGAAACUUCAUGGAUGAUACUUGCAAGUUCUGGUAUUGGAUGCUGCAUUGAGUUUUGGAAAAUAGGGAAAGCUAUGCAUAUUGAGGUCGACAGAACUGGUACAAUACCAAUGCUUAGAUUCCGUGACCGUGACUCAUAUGCUACAAACAAGACAAAGGAAUAUGAUGAUCUUGCUAUGAAGUACUUGACAUAUGUCUUGCUCUUCCUUGCCGUCUGUUUCUCUAUUUACUCUCUAAAGUAUGAACGCCACAAGAGCUGGUAUUCUUGGAUCCUUUCAUCCCUUACAAGCUGUGUCUACACUCUACAUGUUCGGUUUUAUCAUGAUGUGCCCGCAACUCUUUAUCAACUAUAAGCUAAAGUCUGUCGCCCAUCUACCUUGGAGGCAGAUGACAUACAAGUUUUUUAACACAAUUAUUGAUGAUCUCUUUGCUUUCGUGAUUAAGAUGCCAAUACUACAUCGGUUUUCAGUCUUCCGUGAUGGGGAGUUAUUGGUAGAAAAUUUCAAUUACGUGAAUAGAAAAUCUGAACCAGGGAACUCAUUUAAUCUUAAAGAAAAACAGUGAUCAUUAAACCUGCAUCUACAGAGAUGUUAUAUUUUUUAUAUAUCUUUAUCAAAGAUGGAAGUACCCGGUUGACAAGAAGCGUGUGAAUGAAUUUGGUUUCACAGAUUCAACACAGCAAACGGAAGAGGACAAGAAAACUAAUUGACCUAGUUGUGACCAAAACAAAUUGAUACUAUGUAACUCAGUAACAGAUUAGUUAUGGGAUUGUUUUUGCUGCUCAUAUUUA